CCUACGGGAGGCAGCAGUGAGGAAUAUUGGUCAAUGGACGCAAGUCUGAACCAGCCAUGCCGCGUGCAGGAAGACGGCUCUAUGAGUUGUAAACUGCUUUUGUACGAGGGUAAAUCCCGAUACGUGUAUCGGGUUGAAAGUAUCGUACGAAUAAGGAUCGGCUAACUCCGUGCCAGCAGCCGCGGUAAUACGGAGGAUUCAAGCGUUAUCCGGAUUUAGUGGGUUUAAAGGGUGCGUAGGCGGUUCGAUAAGUUAGAGGUGAAAGCCCGGGGCUCAACUCCGGCACUGCCUCUGAUACUGUCGGUCUAGAGUUUAGUUGCGGUAGGCGGAAUGUAUGGUGUAGCGGUGAAAUGCAUAGAUAUCACGCAGAACUCCGAUUGCGAAGGCAGCGUACCGGCGCCCAACUGACGCUGAAGCACGAAGGCGUGGGUAUCGAACAGGAUUAGAUACCCCUGUAGUC
rnacentral:rRNA from 1 species